rnacentral:misc_RNA from 1 species
GAACCAAUGAACAAAAGACAAAAAGAAAGCAAAAUAGACAAUAGAGUCACAAAGAUUGGAAUGCUUCCUUUGUCUCUCCUCAAUAACAUCCCUUCAAUUAUAGGAUAAUUCACCAUCAAGAUGAAAAAUGAGAGGAACACUUGACCAAACAAAUCACUCAAUCUCCCUUCUAGAAUCCCUUUUCCAAUAACUCCCCAAGUGAAGGAAAUCAUAUUCAAUAUGACUAAUGUAACCAAAGGGACAAUUAGUCUUUUAGAUGCUUGAAAAUUGUAUAUUCCCAUUUGGUAUCUCUUCAAUUGUUCAUCAUCAACAACUUUAUUUGUGGGCAAAAAACUUGCUUUUCUACAGCCAUAUAACUUCAUGAUUGCAUCCAAAGUUCCAUAGAAAUAAGCUGUUAUUGAUUUUAUCAUCCAUACCCUCCAUUCAUUCCACCAUGUUCUCAUUGUCCCUCCAGUGUUCACAACAUCCCACAAGUAUUUUGAAAGUGAGGACAAGAAAAGAAAAGAAUAUACAAAGAACCAUGGACUUGAGACCUUAGGGUAAAUGGGAAUGCCAUUUAGGAGACAAAGCUGAGGAACGAUGGCUAAAAACCAAACUGGGAAGCAAUAGAGAGGCUGAGAAGCAAGGUAAGCAUAACACAUGCAUUCAAGAAAAGGCAUUCUUGAUUUCAAGCCAUAGAUGAGGGGACAAAAUCUUGAGAAAAGAACUUCAACUAGUCCAGAAUUCCAUCUUGUUCCUUGAACUAACGUGUCAUUCAAAUUUGUUGUACUACUGCCUAAAAAAGCUGGCCUUGAAGGGUUACAAAGCACAGAUUUCCAGCCUUUGCAAUGCAUAAUGAAACCUGUGAAGUAGUCUUCCACCACUGAAUGGUACAGGAAUCCUAUCUCUUCUCCCCAUUGUGACUCCUCCUCAUAGGUGCAAGAGGCUAAAAAUCUUGCUUCUUGGAUCUCAUUGUCAGCAAAUUCCUUGAUGCCAGUGUCAUUUUGCUUAUCAUUAAUGCAUGUAAUAACAGUAUUUAGGAAUUCAUUUGAGGAUCCAAAAUACUUCUUCAGCUCACUAAGAUCCAUGUCUUUGUGUAUAGCAGUCCCGUAUAGAGCUUUCCUCUUCAUAUAGAAGCAUGUACCAGAUAGCAUAGGUCCUAUAAGCCCAUCCAUCCCUGGCCACCUGACCACAAAACAAUUUCUCAUGGCAGAAUCAUAAAUAUCAUUCUUGCUAAUGUUGCGAAAUCUUUGAGGGAACUGAACAAAUGCAAGUGAGGGAGAGAUUUUGGGAUCAAGGUGAAAGCACAUUGCUUGUCUAGCUGAAGAUGGAUCAUUGGAGUGCAUAUCACAAUCCAACAUUAAUAUGUAUGGUGAGUUGCUUACGAUUCCAGAAACUCUAAGAAGAACAUUGAGGGCUCCAGCUUUGAAAUGAUGGGGAUGAGAAUUAUUUUUCUCCCUUGAAACAUAAACAAGAGAUGGUAGUUUAGCUUUGCCAUUAUUUUUGGCUCCACAACCUCUCUGGCCUAUUAUCUCAAUUACAGUAUCACGAUUUGGGCCAAACUGGACUCCAGUAUCCUUUGUCCCUCCAUUUUCUUGAGCUUUCUUCAACCGCUCCUUGAACUCCUCGUACUCUUUCUGAAUGUUCUCUCUUUCUAGCAAAUAAUCUUUGCCGCCAUUAAUCUCAUCAUCAGCUGCUUGAAAAAAAGUUUCAGGGCAAAUCCUCUUCACUCCAAAUUCCCUGCAAAACGGAAUCCACACUUCUCCAAAUCUCCACGCUUCACGAACCGCACAUAGCGUCGUAACCGAACCCCCAUCGUCGGAAAGGUACACUGUUACCUUCUCCGGCGGAUAAUCAAUCGCCAUCGCUGAUAAUACAGUGUUCAUAACUCCCAACGCCGGUUCCUUUAUCGGAUCUGCCGUACAUACAAAAACGUCGAUUGCCGGUAGUUCAUCGUCGGGCGGCAAGUUUUCCGGGUAGACGUAGCGGGUAACUGGAGAGAAUAUAUGAGCUGAGUCGAGUGUCCUAAGGAAGGAGAGAAUUAGCUCGGAAACGAAGAUUAGGAACCAGUAAGGUAAAAAUGAGAUUGGAAUUUCGUUGAGAUUGAUUAUUAGUCUGUAGUAGAGCAUGAAGAGUAUUGCUAUUGAGUGAAUAAAAGUGUGACUUCUGGUUACUGUGGCUGAAAAUGUGUCCACUGUAACCUUUUGCAGAGGAGGAAGAGUUUCCAUUUUUU